GUCUACAGCCAUGCCACCCUGAAUAAGCAUGAUCCCGUUUGAUCUCAGAAGCCAAGCAGGGUUGGGCCUGGUUAGUACUUGGAUGGGAGACCACCUAGGAAGACCAUGUGCUAUAGGAG
rnacentral:rRNA from 1 species